UACGUAGGCAGCAAGCGUUGUUCGGAGUUACUGGGCGUAAAGAGUGCGUAGGCGGUGUCGAAAGUUUGGCGUGAAAUCUCCCGGCUUAACUGGGAGGGUGCGCCGAAAACUGCGGUGCUGGAGUGUGGGAAAGGCAAGCGGAAUUCCUGGUGUAGCGGUGAAAUGCGUAGAUAUCAGGAGGAACACCGGUGGUGUAGACGGCUUCUGGACCGUAACUGACGCUGAGACACGAAAGCGUGGGUAGCAAACAGG
rnacentral:rRNA from 1 species